rnacentral:piRNA from 1 species
UUUCCUCUGUAUGAUAACAAUUGUAAUUCC